GAUCAUCUUUAGGAAGUUGCUGGAGAGCCUGGCUGGAGUUUCUCUGCCUUCUGUUCUUGUGAGAACACUUAAGAUCUACGCUCUCAGCAAAUUUCAAGAAAACGAUCCAAUGUUGUUAGCUACAGGCACCGUACAACAGCAGAGCUGCAGAACUGAGGCACCUCGCAAACUCAAACUUUGCACCCUUUGACCGACAUCUCCUCAUUUUCCUCUCCCCACAACCUCUGUUAACCACAGAUUCUACUCUCUGCUUCUAUGAGUUUGACUAUUUUAGAUUCCACACAUACGUGGAUCAUGCGGUGUUUGUCUUUCUGUGUCUG
rnacentral:lncRNA from 1 species